GCGAGCUUUUGCCACCGCCGCGUCCUCACAUCCGAUGGACCUGGUCUUUCCCACCAUGUUUUCUUCUUCAAUGUUUAGUUGCUUCUUUUGCCUGCUUCUUUUUCUGGGGAAAAAAAAAAAAGUUAGGAUCCCCCUUCCCAAAUUCUAACAUAAACAAACAGAAACCACCUCUAUUUGGAUUAUUUUUUGAAACUGUCCACAGCUAACACCUAAUUAGGAGGCACACGCCAUGGUCACCAUGCUCUGCCUUACCACCCAGCGUGGAAGAAUCUCCAACCUUCCUUCCCUUGUGCCAGGUUCUCUUAAAGCUCUCAGUGUGGCGUUCAGUUGUCUUCAAGAUGAUCUCGAGCGCACUUCGGCGCAUCAGGCAGGUGGCGACCAUCACGAUGGCUGACACAGUUAUGACGGCAAGGUUCACAGCGACAACCAUAGCAAUAACGUGGCCACGCGGAGCACAACGCGGUCUCCAACACCGACAACAUCUGGAGCCUAGGAGGCCCACGAUAAGUAUUUGCUGGAUCCAUGAAUAAAUUAGCACCCGUUGUCACAAUCCUCAUUUUUCCUGGUUUUACUGAGUGACCCAAGUGAAUCGCUGACUUACACCGAUGACCAUUGUUUUAGAGUAACUAUCCUUAACCUGUGAGGCAAGAACCCUUUCUGUUCUAGUUUUCAAAGAGUUAUGGCUGAAAAGGGGGCUGAAAGGUAUCAGAUGUAUUUGCCACACCUUUGAGACGCUUCUGUAACUUUUUAUUCAAACACAUCAAUAUAACGGAUCGCUUAAAUGUUACAACACCUUUCCACCCCUGGGUAUAAAAUUCUGUAUUUGUGUGUUUGUGUACGUGCAUGUUCAGGUUUAGUCCAGAGGGGCGUGGUAGGGUUUUGAUUAGGAUUUUUACAUUCUAACAUUUUUGAAAAAGGUUUAUUUUUGAGAAAGACAGAGAGAGAGAGAGAGAGAGAGAGAGAGAGAGAGAGAGAGAGAGAGAGAGAGAGAGAGAGAGAGAGAGAGAGAGAGAGAGAGAGAGAGAGAGAGAGAGAGAGAGAGAGAGAGAGAGAGAGAG
rnacentral:lncRNA from 1 species